GACGGAGGAGGCGAGCGUUAUCCGGAUUUACUGGGCGUCAAGGGCGCGUAGGCGGCCUAGCAGGUCGUGGGUGAAAGCCCCAGGCUCAACCUGGGGAGGUCCUGCGAUACCACUAGGCUUGAGGAUCGUAGAGGGGGGCGGAAUGUCCGGUGGAGCGGUGGAAUGCGUAGAUAUCAUCAGGAACACCGGAGGCGAAGGCGGUCCACUGGGUCCUAUCUGACGCUGAGGGACGAAAGCUAGGGGAGCGAACGGG
rnacentral:rRNA from 1 species